rnacentral:rRNA from 1 species
UACGGGGGGAGCAAGCGUUGUUCGGAUUUACUGGGCGUAAAGGGCGCGUAGGCGGCCACCGCAAGUCGGUUGUGAAAUCUCCGGGCUUAACCCGGAAAGGUCAACCGAUACUGCGGGCUAGAGUGCAGAAGGGGCAACUGGAAUUCUCGGUGUAGCGGUGAAAUGCGUAGAUAUCGAGAGGAACACCUGCGGCGAAGGCGGGUUGCUGGGCUGACACUGACGCUGAUGCGCGAAAGCUAGGGGAGCGAAGCGGG